CUCUCGCGACUGCUUUAUUUCUUUUUUGUGCUGUAUUUUUGGCACACACCAAGAAAAGGAACAUUACCCUUGGAGCCGCUACUCGCAUCAUCCACCGUUGCGACUUGAGUCUUUCCUGCUUUUUUUUUGCAUCCGUUUCUCGCGCUCUAUCGUUUGCUUCAGCGGUGCGGAUAGGGGCGGAGAGGCGGAGGAAAGACCCAAGAGAUUCUCCUCUAGUUUUAGAAUUAGCACUUGCUUUUUUUUCGAUUCGAUAAACAGAGGCCGAACACGCACCCCUUUGCGAGGCAGAUCACAGACACAUUCAUCUACUUCGUCGAACAUAACCGAUCGAACCUCCUUUUUGUAUCAUUUUACUGUCCGAUCUCUCUCGCGCUAAUUCUCGUACCACAUUCGACGGCCAUGAAAGCUUUUAUCGCUUCAGUUGUCGGCUUUGCUGGAGCCAGCAUGUACCAGUCUGGGUCCGAGGUGGAGGCCUGGGGCAGCAAGCCGGCAUUCUCACAGGAGAAGUUCCAGCCCUACAAGCUCAUCCACGUCGAGAAUGAGUCGCACAACACAAAGCGCUUUCGCUUCGCCCUCGCUUCGAGCAAGACGCGCCUGGACCUGCCCGUGGCGUCUUGCAUCACGCUGCGCUACACUGACGCCCAGGGACACGAAGUGAUGCGCCCCUACACGCCCAUCAACCUGGUGGAGGAGGAGGGCCACUUCGACCUCGUAGUGAAAUGCUACCCGAAUUCAAAGAUGGGCUCGCACCUUUUUUCGCUCAAGGUCGGCGAUUACAUUGACGUGAAGGGACCGUGGCACACAUUUGACGUGAAACCGGGCCAGUACACCAGGAUUGGCAUGAUCGCUGGUGGUACGGGUCUCACCCCCAUGUUCCAAAUCAUGAAUAACGUCCUGAACGCGCCGGAGAAUAAGACGAUGAUCUCGCUUCUCUACGCAAACAAGACCGAAGGGGACAUUCUGCUCGGCAAGGAGCUGGACACGCUGGCGAAAGAGUACCCCGGGAAGUUUGCCACGUACCACUGCCUCACGACGCCGCCGAAGCGCUGGACGGGCUACUCUGGCCACAUCAACAAAGUGAUCAUCCAGGAGACGAUGCCAGGCCCGGAUCACCAAGGUGAUUCGUGCGUUCUGGUGAGCGGCCCGCCGUCCUUCAUGAAGACCAUCUGUGGCGAGAAGGACUACAGCUCCUACCCGCCCAAGCAAGGCCCGCUCGAGGGCUGCCUAAAGGAGUUGGGCUACUCAUCAAGCGGCGUCUUCAAGUUCUAAGUCCACACUCUGCGUAUGCGCGCACCUGCGCGCCCAUGUGUGUAUGUGUCCUCUGUGAAGCACUGCAGAAGCCUUGACUCUGUGAGGCGGAUGGCGAACGGAGGCAAAAAGGCGAAAAGAAGGGGUGGGGGCGGAACGAGUCGGGGCAAUCGAUUACGAGCGUGCCCCUUCCUUUUUCUGUGCUUCCGUCCUCUCUCCCCCUUUGUGCUCGUUCGCCUUUUCACCCCCCUUCUCUUGAUGGGCGUCUUGGCCGACUCCUUUUCUUUUUAUCGUAUACUUCUCUCUCUAUAUGCCUUUCUAGCAGCCUUUAUUACUUAUAUGCGUGGGCGUGCGUCAGCGCGUGUGUGGGCCUCUCUCUGAGAGGCGUUCACCACGGGUAUGGAUAUCCUUUUUUGUUUUACCUUGUGUGGUUCUCGCCCUUGGUUCCUCUGGACCUCUUCGUGUGUGUGUGUGUGCAUGCGAUCAGACCGCGUCUUCUUGCACCGUUUUGUUUUCCCUGGCAGAGAAAAAAAGGCGGGAAAAAGGAGAGCAGGGAGGGGGUAGGAGAGAGGCUUCGGUGUGGCGUAUAUGUGGUGCAUUGCCGUCUAUCACAGUCGCGCGGAGGUUGAAUUUUCAUUUUGUUUGCCUCUUGUAUGCAACCCCUGAGAACGGGCAACACCUAAGUGCGCUUUAUCGAUAUCUUAGGACCCACUCUGCGAGGAAGCCAAGCAGCCCCCCUGCCCCUGUCCCUGCCAAGUGCAGAGCCACUUCCGGUGGUGACAGGGCCAGGCGCCGACGACGUGGAGAAGCCAGAGCGAUCUAUCGCCGCUGAUGUGGGCGGUCCGGUCCUGGGUGGCGUUGCGUCGGCGCUACCUGCGACGGUGAACGCGUUUCCAUCAUGUAUGUGAUGGGGCAGAGUGCCCGCGUGACUCGAGCGUGUAUCCCACCCGACCCUCCACUGCCUGCUGGUGGGGAGCCUGCGCCACCCCGAGGGACGCACCAGGUGGCCACCGGCGAGGCGGGCGGGGGGGGCGGGUAGAGUUGGAGGCGGAGGCCGUACUCGGAUGGAUGAGGGGCACUGCUGCAACGCGUGCUCACGGCUGCUUGGCGCCACGCGAUGAGGCCUGUGACAGGCCGGGUGGAGUGGUGUCUGAGUUCAUGUUGCGUGGCGGACUGGAGGCGUUGAUCGCAUGAAAAAAAAACGCUGGUCGCUGUCCUCGAAGUCUCCGAGAGCUGAUGGGCGAGCAGACGUAUACAGAGAGAGAACUAUGCGUGUAAAGUGAGGUGGAGAGCAGCUGUGCAGCACUGGCUCACGUUGUAGAGCCACGAAACUGUGCCAAUGAAGUU
rnacentral:misc_RNA from 1 species